rnacentral:rRNA from 1 species
AUUGAACGCUGGCGGCAGGCCUAACACAUGCAAGUCGAACGAGUGGCGGACGGGUGAGUAAUGUCUGGGAAACUGCCCGAUGGAGGGGGAUAACUACUGGAAACGGUAGCUAAUACCGCAUACCAUCGGAUGUGCCCCGAUGGGAUUAGCUAGUAGGUGGGGUAACGGCUCACCUAGGCGACGAUCCCUAGCUGGUCUGAGAGGAUGACCAGCAACACUGGAACUGAGACACGGUCCAGAGUACUACGGGAGGCAGCAGUGGGGAAUAUGGCACAAUGGGCGCAAGCCUGAUGCAGCCAGGCCGCGUGUAUGAAGAAGGCCUUCGGGUUGUAAAGUACUUUCAGCGAGGAGGCGUUACUCGCAGAAGACGCACCGGCUAACUCCGUGCCAGCCGCCGCGGUAAUUC